GCCCUCACCAGGACUGGAAUCCACUGGCACCUUGAUUUUGUGCUUGGCAGCUGGGGCUUUGAGCCAUGCUGUACCUUCGACCUCUGGAGGAAUUAGAGACUAAAAGCAUUAGUCUGAGCCCCUGGAGUGGAUGAAAACAGAGUCAGCCCUGUGGACAAUAUGUGAUCAAGCUCCACUAAAAACUCCAGAUGCCAAAAGCGCAGAUGGAUCCAACAAACUCACAUGGCUUCCUCUUCAGAAGAUUCAACCCAAGGGGGCCCCCGGCCUUCAAACUAGAGACGAAACAACGAAAACCCC